rnacentral:piRNA from 1 species
UGUAGCUUUGGAGCCUGGCCUGGA